rnacentral:rRNA from 1 species
CCUACGGGAGGCUGCAGUGAGGAAUAUUGGUCAAUGGACGAGAGUCUGAACCAGCCAAGUAGCGUGAAGGAUGACUGCCCUACGGGUUGUAAACUUCUUUUAUAUAGGAAUAAAAUGUUGCACGUGUGGCUUUUUGUAUGUACCUUAUGAAUAAGGAUCGGCUAACUCCGUGCCAGCAGCCGCGGUAAUACGGAGGAUCCGAGCGUUAUCCGGAUUUAUUGGGUUUAAAGGGAGCGUAGAUGGGUUGUUAAGUCAGUUGUGAAAGUUUGCGGCUCAACCGUAAAAUUGCAGUUGAUACUGUCAGUCUUGAGUACAGUUGAGGUAGGCGGAAUUCGUGGUGUAGCGGUGAAAUGCUUAGAUAUCACGAAGAACUCCGAUUGCGAAGGCAGCUUACUAAACUGCCACUGACACUGAGGCUCGAAAGUGUGGGUAUCAAACAGGAUUAGAUACCCGUGUAGUC